rnacentral:lncRNA from 1 species
AUUCUGAAUAUAACUAACUUCCUUCCUUCCUGCCUUCCUCCCUCCCUGCCUUCCCUUCCUUCCUGCCUUCCUUCUUCCUUCCUCCCUUUUUUCUUUUCUCCCUUCCUUCCUUCUUAAUAUGUUUUUGGCCUUUUCUUUAUAUAUGUGGCCUAGCAAUAUCCUGUGUUUGGAAAAGUAUAAACCUAAGGCAUCACCUUUACAGAAAAUAUCUUCCACGGAAACAUCUAAAGGCCACAGAUCAGCCCUGGGGUUCAGAGGGAUCCUGACAGCUACUCCUCAAGAUCCUCUCUGUUGUGAUUCAUCCCCCCGGGGCCCUACAGUUUCUCCUUCCUGACUCUUACAUUUCUUUGGAUGGCAUCAUUAUUUACCUGUCUCCUCCCAUAGUUAGGUGCCAAGCACUGUGGAUUCUGCCUCUCAGUGUCCAGACACCCAUUUUCCUUCCCACUGUUCCUUCCCCAUGGAGAAGCCUGUGGCUGGCUGACAGCAGAGAGAGAUGCUCAACUUGGAGAAGGUGUUACCUGGGCCAGGUGGGGAAGGUUUGUUUGCAGAGCAAAGAAGUGAAGGAAGUAUUAACCCUUUGCAUGGCCUCCUGAGAAUCCGACAAGACGUAAAUAGCCAAGAAUAUCUGUGAAACUUCAUCACUGAGUUACAAUAUUUAUCACUGCAAGUGUGUUGUUCAUUGACACUAUAAAGCCAUGUGGAAUUAAGCAGCCUUGAAACACAAAAUGGAGAAAGGCUAAGAGCUGAGAAUUGUU